AUUGAACGCUGGCGGCAGGCCUAACACAUGCAAGUCGAGCGAGCGGCGGACGGGUGAGUAAUGUAUGGGAAUGUGCCUGGUGGAGGGGGAUAACUACUGGACACGGUCGCUAAUACCGCAUACCCUCAGAUGGACCCAUAUGGGAUUAGCUAGUAGGUGGGGUAAAGGCUCACCUAGGCGACGAUCCCUCGCUGGUCUGAGAGGAUGAACAGACACACUGGAACUGAGACACGGUCCAGACUCCUACGGGAGGCAGCAGUGGGGAAUAUUGCACAAUGGGCGAAAGCCGGAUGCAGCCAUGCCGCGUGUAUGAAGAAGGCCUUCGGGUUGUAAAGUACUUUCAGCUGGGAGGCGUUACCCGCAGAAGAAGCACCGGCUAACUCCGUGCCAGCAGCCGCGGUAAUAC
rnacentral:rRNA from 1 species